rnacentral:rRNA from 1 species
GUAACGGGGAAUUAGGGUUCGAUUCCGGAGAGGGAGCCUGAGAAACGGCUACCACAUCUAAGGAAGGCAGCAGGCGCGCAAAUUACCCAAUCCUAAUACAGGGAGGUAGUGACAAGAAAUAACAAUACAGAGCCUUACGGUUUUGUAAUUGGAAUGAGUUAAGUAUAAACCCCUUAACAAGUAUCAAUUGGAGGGCAAGUCUGGUGCCAGCAGCCGCGGUAAUUCCAGCUCCAAUAGCGUAUAUUAAAGUUGUUGCAGUUAAAAAGCUCGUACUUAAUUUUCUGUUAAUUUUUAUAUACAAUGCUACGGUAUUUAUAUAAUAUUAACAUAAUUCAUAUUACUUUUUAGUAUAUGAAACUUUACUUUGAGAAAAUUAGAGUGCUUAAAGCAGGCUAUUGCCUUGAAUACUCCAGCAUGGAAUAAUAUUAAGGAUUUUUAUUCUUCUUAUUGGUUCUAGAAUAAAAAUAAUGAUUAAUA